rnacentral:tRNA from 1 species
UCUGAGUUGGCAGAUUUAAUGUGAUAGAUUUAGGAUCUAAAAAUACCUAUGGUACUCAGAA